rnacentral:rRNA from 1 species
UACAGAGGGGGCAAGCGUUGUUCGGAAUUACUGGGCGUAAAGCGCGCGUAGGCGGUUUUGCAAGCCAGAGGUGAAAUGCCUGAGCUCAACUUAGGAAUUGCCUUUGGGACUGCGAGGCUUUGAGGACUGGAGAGGUGAGUGGAAUUCCCAGUGUAGAGGUGAAAUUCGUAGAUAUUGGGAAGAACACCGGUGGCGAAGGCGGCUCACUGGCCAGUUUCUGACGCUGCAGCGCGAAAGCGUGGGGAUCAAACAGG